rnacentral:rRNA from 1 species
GACGAACGCUGGCGGCGUGCUUAACACAUGCAAGUCGAACGGAAAGGCCCUGCUUUUGCGGGGUGCUCGAGUGGCGAACGGGUGAGUAACACGUGAGUAACCUGCCCUUGACUUUGGGAUAACUUCAGGAAACUGGGGCUAAUACCGGAUAGGAGCUCCUGCUGCAUGGUGGGGGUUGGAAAGUUUCGGCGGUUGGGGAUGGACUCGCGGCUUAUCAGCUUGUUGGUGGGGUAGUGGCUUACCAAGGCUUUGACGGGUAGCCGGCCUGAGAGGGUGACCGGCCACAUUGGGACUGAGAUACGGCCCAGUCUCCUACGGGAGGCAGCAGUGGGGAAUAUUGCACAAUGGGCGGAAGCCUGAUGCAGCGACGCCGCGUGCGGGAUGACGGCCUUCGGGUUGUAAACCGCUUUCGCCUGUGACGAAGCGUGAGUGACGGUAAUGGGUAAAGAAGCACCGGCUAACUACGUG